UGGGAAUAUUGGACAAUGGGGGAAACCCUGAUCCAGCAAUGCCGCGUGAACGAUGAAGGCCCUCGGGUCGUAAAGUUCUUUCAGCAGGGAAGAAGGGUAACUUGACUGUACCUGCAGAAGAAGCACCGGCUAACUACGUGCCAGCAGCCGCGGUAAUACGUAGGGUGCAAGCGUUGUUCGGAAUUAUUGGGCGUAAAGCGCGUGUAGGCGGUUACUUAAGUCUGAUGUGAAAGCCCGGGGCUUAACCCCGGAAGUGCAUUGGAUACUGGGUAACUAGAGGACGAGAGAGGGAAGCGGAAUUCCAGGUGUAGGGGUGAAAUCCGUAGAUAUCUGGAGGAACGUCGGUGGCGAAGGCGGCUUCCUGGCUCGUAUCUGACGCUGAGACGCGAAAGCGUGGGGAGCAAAC
rnacentral:rRNA from 1 species